rnacentral:tRNA from 1 species
AGGUUGAUAGCCUAAUUAGGGCGACGGACUUUUGAUUCGUAGGUGGGGUAUAGGGGCUCCUCAACCUG